UACGUAGGUGGCGAGCGUUGUCCGGAAUUACUGGGUGUAAAGGGCGUGUAGGCGGGAAGGCAAGUUAGAUGUGAAAACCCAUGGCUUAACUGUGGGACUGCAUCUAAAACUGUUUUUCUUGAGUGCUGGAGAGGAAAGUGGAAUUCCCAGUGUAGCGGUGAAAUGCGUAGAGAUUGGGAGGAACACCAGUGGCGAAGGCGGCUUUCUGGACAGUAACUGACGCUGAGGCGCGAAAGCGUGGGGAG
rnacentral:rRNA from 1 species